rnacentral:lncRNA from 1 species
CCGAGAAAAGUGAGAUCCCGCGAGACUCCCAGGGUAUGGUCUCUCAAGAGCCCUGGAAACGUGUGUCGGCGCCGCCGGAUGCGGCGACUUCUCAGUGGCUGUGGCUGGCGUUGGUCCGAAGCGUGGUGUUCUUCCCUGGUGUCUUUCUGCUUAUCUCUUUCCUCCCUGGGCCCUCCGGCGCGAGGGACCGUCAUCACCUCCCCGAGAGAGGUUGUCCGCGCUGCCAGGCGCUGGGCAGCAGGCUCUCCGGGUGGCCGGGCGGGCGGCGCGGAGACGUCGGCGGGCCUGAUGUCUGCCUUGAGCGCCCGCGGUCCUAGCCUGCCUGUACGCGCAGGUCACUGUAGGUGAUCUGGGGACGGGGGAAGGUGGAGCCUGCGCCUUCCCGCCUCGCGCCAUUUGCGGCCUUCGCCGGGGUGGAAUCCCUGUCUGCCUGGGCCCGCGCCAGCACGUUUCUGAAGGAUGUGACUUGGGUCUCUUACAACCCGUUUAGUACCUGUGCCCUAAGACGGAGGGGCUGUGUAGUGGCUGCCCCAUGUUUUGCCCUUCCUGAUUGUUUUCCUGAAACCUUGCGUUCUCAGGUCUUUGGAUGCCUUUUACUCGGUUGUUUUCAGGCAUAGCAAGAGGUUGAGGGACGUCGACCGCCUUUUAAACCCGCGGAAGGGCUGUAGCAACUCUUGUCUCCUAGUGCUGGCAGAACGGGGAUCGUAACACUAAUCUCUAAUCUUUGUCUCUCUUGGGUACCUUUACUGUAAUUUGGAUAUGUGGUCAUCAUUAGUGACCAGAAAUUGACUGUCAGGUACAGGCCAAUUACCUGAUUUUGUUUAGCCAGUGAGCUAAGUGGUUUUUUUUAUUUUUUAAUUUAUUUUUAUUUUUAUUUUCGAGAUGGAGUCUUGCUCUGUCACCCAGUCUGGCGUGUAGUGGCACGAUCUUGGCUCACUGCAACCUCCGCCUCCCGGGUUCAAGCAAUUCUCCGGCUUCAGCCUCCUGAGUAGCUGGGAUUACAGGCGCAUGCCACCACCCCCCGGCUAAUUUUUGUAUUUUUAGUAGAGACGGAGUUUCACCAUGUUGGCCAGGCUGGUUCUCGAACUCCUGACUUCGUGAUCCACCCGUCUUGGCCUCCCAAAGAGCUGGGAUUACAGGCGUGAGCCACCGCGCCUGGCUAAGGGUGAUUUUUACAUUUGUAAAUGGAUUUAAAAAAUCAAAAUAACAGUGUUUUGUUACACAUGAAAAUCAAGAAAUUUUAGUGCCCAUAGUUGCAUUAGAACACAGCGCACACAUUCAUUUCUGUAUCGUCUGUGGCUGCUGUUGCCAUACAGAAGCAGACAGAGUUGAGUAAUUGUAAGCGAGACCACGUGGCUGGAAAUCCUAAAAUAUUCAUUAUUUAGCUCUUUAGAGAAAAAAAUUGCCAGUCUCUCACCUCGCUGGUGGAACUCCUUAACAGACCACUGAUGUUCAGUAGGUUAGAUUAAUUGGUUUAUCUUUAUAUUAAUAGGAGUUUCUUCUGCAGCGUUAGACUACCUACAGUUUCUAUAUUUUAUGGAGCACAAUCACAGUUGACAUCUCAUUGCUAUGGUGGAGAAUAAACCCAUAGGCAUUCCUCAAAACCAUGACUCCUUUCUGUGCUUACCUCAUUGACGUAUAGGGCUAGCCUAUCAAUUGUGGACAUUUAGAUUAGCAAUCAGCCAAAAUUAUGGUGAAUUAAUUGGAGUUACUUUUAAUUGCCUGAAAUGUCAGAAUCAAUUUAGCAUAAAACUAUAGGCACAGGAAGCUUAUAGGAUUGGAGCAGCUUUUUUUUUUUUUUUCUGACUUGCAUGCAGAGUUUGUUGUUUGCUGAUUUAGGCAAAAAUCUAAGGUUAGAUGAGGCAUAGCAGUCUGUAUAAUCCUUUUAAGGGGAUGCGUUGUUUGAUAGAUUUCCUUUUGUGACAAGUCGUCUAAUGGCAUUCCAUGACCUGUCCAACUUUGUGUAGAGCACCCUAUUCUGUUGCUGUUCAUAAAAAUCUGAAUCUGUUGUCCCACACAUAGCACCAAUUGAAAAUAAAAAACAGGAGAGGGAGGAUUAAAAUUGGCCUAUACCGCCUCCUCCAAUUGCAGAAACAUCGGUGCUGCCUCCUUCGGUAGUAGAAAUAGAAACCCCAACACAAAGAAUUUUACGCUCUGCUGUCAUAGCUGGAGAGCCCUUAGGACCUUGCGCUUUUCCUGUUUCCAUAAGGCCUGAUCCAAAUAAUCCAUAGUAGGUAAUUCAUGAACACACUCCACAGGAAUUUAAGUUGUUGAAGGAAUUAAAAACUAGUGUGGUCAAUAAUGGAGUACAAAGCCCAUGGUUCCCAGAGGAAGGAAUUCUAGACAUAGAACUCUGGGAACAAGUGGGGAGAAACCUUAAACAACAUCAGGCGCAAAGGCAUCAGGUCCCAGUAAAAUCUUUAAUGUUAUGGGCUUUAAUUUGAGCAGCCCUGGCUCAGUUACACACAGAAGAUCCUAAAAAGAGGAAGGAGAAGAAAACAUCACCUGCCUUAUCACCUCCUCUUCCCUCAGCCCCAAUAUCACUGGGCCAAAAUAACAAAGAGGAAACAGAGGUCUUACCUAAGCCGCCUCCUCCUAUAGAUAGGGAAAAGGACAGAGGAUAUACUACAGCUAUCAGUCCCUGUCCAGGUGCCACUAUGUAACUAGCAUGGACCUAGGGGGACUGAACAAAGAGGGGGAACACAGGAAUGAAAGACGAGAUAAAAAUAUAUUUGGAAGAAGGGGUCGGGGGCACCUUGCCUCUAGUGGACAAGGGGCCUGAGCUUUACACAGCCCUCCGUAUUUAUUAGGCAAAAGAGAUAGCGAGAAGGGGGGCGAUUGUUGGGUAAUAGUCGGCCAUUUGGUUCACAGCAGGCUUGCGAGACUGCAUCCUUUGGACAAUAGGCGCUAGAUUUCUCAAUAGAUAACUUUAAGGAGCCUGGCACCAGGGAGUGAUGUCCUUCAGCAAACCUUUUGGUGGCAGGGCAAUGUGAAUUUGCCCACAUCCUGCAUUCAUGAUAAACAGUUUGCUGUUUGAUCAUAUAGCCUCCGGUGGAAUGCUGAGUUGGUCAUGUCCCAUGGGUCUUCGGCUCCUUGCAACUUUGCUACUUGAAUAAUGGCUAGAUGCAGUAAAACCUGACAGCUUUAUUAUUUUAUUAUUAACUGUUUUUUUGAGAUGGAGUUUCACUCUCGUUGCCCAGGCUGGAGUGCAAUGGUGUGAUCUCAGCUCACUGCAACCUCCACCUCCUGGGUUCAGGCAAUUCUCCUGCCUCAACCUCCCAAGUAGCUGGGACUACAGGCAUGCACCACCAUGCCUGGCUAAUUUUGCAUUUUCAAUAGAGACGGGGUUUCGCUCUGUUGGCCAGGCUGGUCUCAGACUCCUGACUUCAGGUGGUCCACCCACCUCGGCCUCCCAAAGUGCUGGGAUUGCAGGCAUGAGCUACCGUGCCUGGCUGACACCUUGAUUGAUUGAUUGAUUGAGACAGAGUCUCACUCUGUUGCCCAGACUGGAGUGCAGUGGCGUGAUCUCAGUUUCCAGCUUCAAGCAAUUCUCCUGCCCAAGUCUCCCUAGUAGCUGGGAUUAAAGGUGCGUGCCACCAUGCCUGGCUAAUUUUUGUAUUUUUAGUAGAGAUGGGGUUUUGCCAUGUUGGCCAGGCUGGUCUUGAAAUCCUGACCUCAUUUGAUCUGCCUGCCUCAGCCUCCCAAAGUGCUGGGAUUACAGGCAUGAGCCACUGCACCCAGCCAGCUUUUUUUUUUUAAUUAAUAUUAUUCGAGACAGGGUCUUGCUCUGUUGCCCAGGCUGGAGGGCAGUGGCACAAUCUCGGCUCACUGCAACUUCUGUCUCCUGGGCUCAAGUGGUCCUCCCACCACCAUGUGGCAGCAUGCUUGGCUAAUUUUUUUUUUUUUAAUUUACAAAGAAAAGAGGCUUAAUUGGCUUAUGGUUCUUUGGCCUAUAUAGACUUCUGCUUUUGGGGAGGCCUCAGGAAACUUACAAUCAGGGUGGAAGGUGAAGAGAAAGCAAGCACAUCUUCACAUGGCUGGCAGGAGAGAGGAGGUGGGGAGGUGCUACACACUUUCAGUCAACCAGAUCUUAUGAGACCUCUAUCUCAAGAACAGCAAGGGGGACGUCUGCCCCCAUGAUUCAAUCAUCUCCCACCAGGCCUCUCCUCCAACACUGGUGAUUACAAUUCGACAUGAAAUUUGAGUGGGGACACAGACCCAAGCCAUAUCAACUAAUAAAGAUAACACUAACUGUUGUAACAAACUGCAAAUUUUAGUUGUCUGGGCAGUGAAAUAGAAGUUCACUUCUCAUUUAUAUAAAGUGUGGUGUGGAUUGGUCCUGGGUUGAUAGUGUCAUUUCUCCAUGGGGUGACGCAAGGCCCAGGGUUUUUCUUGUCAUAGCUUCGCCAUCCCCUAGAACCUGGGAAUCUUCUAUCCCCGGGCACUGGAAACCUGGAGAGAUCAUCGGGGAAGCACACCUGAUUUUGAAAAACCCUGGCCUGGAAAUGACCACUUCCCCUCUGCUUGUAGCCUAUGGUUUGGCCAUGACAAAGACAAAGGUGGCUGGGAGAUGUCAUCUGUGGCUGGGCAGCUGUUCCCAGCAGCCCCUCUAUCUUCUGGAAGGUGGAGCAUGAAUUUUUUGUUGGUUCACUUGUGAAUCUGUCACACCAACGAGUGCUGUAAAAUUCGGAGUGGGAUUUUACAUAGAGAAAGCUAGAAAAACAACUGUGUGUUCAUGAGGCCAAGGCAUCAGGGUUGAGCACAAACAAUUUGAGUGCAGAUUUGUCUCUGCUAGUUAAUCUCACUUUACAGUGCCCCCAAUGUCAUGGGUUAUCCGGAAGGUUAUUUCAUGUACCGCCUUUGUGUGGAAGCACAUUUCCAUAGAUAGUAGAUAAAGAUCUCUUAACCUUAUAUUUUCCCUCAUAUCAUCAUAAAUAGCUUAUGCAAUGCCAUUUCAGUGAGUCUGACAACUUCUCCAAUGAGGUCUGGAUGCAGCAGCGUAUCUUUUUGUUAUAUAUAAAAAAGAGUGACAGCAUUCAUCGUUUACAGUGACAUCAAUGAAUUCUGCUUGUAGAGGUUCCCCAUCCAUCCGUUCAUAAUACCUUUUAUGACUUCAGGCUUUUAAACAUCGCACUCUGGUCUGUUUUUCAAAUAUACCACCAUUAUCGGCUCAGGAAGCCAUUCUUCAAUAUUUCAUUUUCCUAAGAAUAUCUGGAAUAUCUUAAUUCCUAUGAGGCUUCUCCAUGGGGUAGGCUCUCAGGUAGGACUUUAACAGGAAAAGGGGGAAAACUGCUGCUGGAGACACGGUUCCUGAGCACAGCUGUCUGCUCUGUACUGGGAAGUUAAAAGGGUUAGAAAAAGGGGAGUUAUAACACAGACUGAGUUAUAUCUUGGGUCAUUCCUGACCUGGAAACAUAUUAGCUCUUCAGAGCCCUUGAGUUUGCCAUCAGGAGAAGGAGAGACACCCAUUCAGGUGAAGCCUGGAACCACCAAGGGUUGGGUGAGGAAUGGGCAGUGAAUGUCCUUCCUAAGAUACCCUUCUGCUGAUGAGAAGUGCAUUCUUGGUUUCCCAGGAAGUGCCCAUUUGGACAGAGAUGGAGAAUUACGAGGGGCAUUGCUUCUCAAUGUUUUGUCACUUUUGAGGUGCCACGGUGUCUUUCUUUGGCCACCAUUUCCUGGUUUCUUCCUUGUCUGCAGAUCUUACUAGAGUUAGGCAAAAUCAAUUUCAGGUUCAGCUCUAGUGGACUGGGAACAAUCUCCAGCAGGGAACUCCCUGGACAGUCUGGGGACAGCUGGGACGAUUCCUGAAGCAACUUAGAUAGGAAAAAUCACGAUGAGCUUUGAUUUAGGGAAGAACAUUGUUGGGCACCCUGAGUCCACCUGCCACCAGCCGCGGAGGGCAUGUUAUAAACACACCAGACACGCCAAGGAUGGGAACAUUGGACCUAAUUUAGCAACAACAAAUCCUUUCCCUCAUGCAUACUUCUCUAAUUACAAAUGAGAUUGUGGUAGGCUUAGCAUGGGUAAAUAAAAUUGAUUCUGUCCACAAAAUUGGAGAUGAUAAAUGUGUUCAAGAAAGGGCUUCAAAUGCCUAGCUGCUGAUUAGAAAAGGCAAAAUAAUUGUGAGAUGGUGACUAAUAGAUGGAAGGAAUUGUGGUAGAAUUGGUCUCCUUGCAGAAAUAUCACUGGUCUGAUCUUUUCAAGAUAAUUACCAUCAAAUGACUGUGUGUUUCAUGCUCUACCCUUCAGUUGGCCGAGGCAUUGCAGGAAUCCCCACAUUGACUCGGCUGUAGGUGGCUCUGGCUUUCUCUCUGUUUGAAGCCUGUAACGGAGCCCCUCUGUUUUCUUUUUUCUUUUUUUUAAUUAUACUUUAAGUUCUAGGGUACAUGUGCACAACGUGCAGGUUUGUUACAUAGGUAUAUAUGUGUCAUGUUGGUGUGCUGCACCCAUUAACUCGUUAUUUACAGUAGGUAUUUCUCCUAAUGCUAUCCCUCCCCCAGGCCCCCACCCGCAACAGGCCCCAGUGUGUGAUGUUCCCCGCCCUGUGUCCAGGUGUUCUCUUUGUUCAAUUCCCACCUAUGAGUGAGAACAUGAAGUAUUUGGUUUUCUGUCCUUGUGAUAGUUUGCUGAGAAUGAUGGUUUCCAGCUUUAUCCAUGUCCCUGCAAAGGACAUGAACUCAUCCUUUUUUAUGGCUGCAUAGUAUUCCGUGGUGUAUAUGUACCAAUUUUCUUAAUCCAGUCUAUCAUUGGUGAACAUUUUGGUUGGUUCCAAGUCUUUGCUAUUGUGAACAGUGCCACAAUAAACAUACAUGUGCAUGUGUAUUUAUACUAGCAUGAUUUAUAAUCCUUUGGGUAUAUAGCACCCAAUAAUGGGAUCACUGGGUCAAAUGGUAUUUCUAGUCCUAGAUCCUUGAGGAAUUGCCACACUGUCUUCCACAAUGGUUGAACUAAUUUACACUCCCACCAACAGUGUAAAAGCGUUCCUAUUUCUCCACAUCCUCUCCAGCAUCUGUUGUUUCCUGACUUUUUAAUGAUCGCCACUCUAACUGGCAUAAGAUGGUAUCUCAUUGUGGUUUUGAUUUGCAUUUCUCUGAUGACCAGUGAUGAUGAGCAUUUUUUCAUGUGUCUAUUGGCUGCAUAAAAAUGUCCUAUUUUGAGAAGUGUCUGUUCAUAUCCUUUGCCCAAUUUUUGAUGGGGUUGUUUGAUUUUUUCUUGUAAAUUUGUUUAAGUUCUUUGUAGAUUCUGCAUAUUAGCCCUUUGUCAGAUGGGUAGAUUGCAAAAAUUUUCUCCCAUUCUGUAGGUUACCUGUUUACUAUGAUGGUAGUUUCUUUUGCUGUGCAGAAGCUCUUUAGUUUAAUUAGAUCCCAUUUGUCUAUUUUCGCUUUUGUUGCCAUUGCUUUAGGUGUUUUAGUCAUGAAGUCCUUGCCCACACCUAUGUCCUGAAUGGUAUUGCCUAAGUUUUCUUCUAGGGUGUUUAUGGAUUUAGUCUAACAUUUGUGGAUGAAUGAGUCUUCGUGUAGCAUUUUAAGGAGGGGAGAUGUACAGACUCAUUACAGAUGAACCUGUUUGCUAAGCACAGUACUUAAACUGCCAUUUUGAUAGAUUAACACUAGUAGUUAGAGGACAUCUUCAAAUUUGCAGGAAACAAGGUUUGAAUAGAAGAUUUGUAAGUCACUGUUCUCAGUGGCUCAUGCCUAUAACCUCAGCACUUUGGGAGGCUGAGGCAGUCAGAUUGCUUUAGGCCAGGAGUUUGAGACCAGGCUGGCCAACAUGGUGAGACCCCAUAUCUACAAAAAAUUUGAAAAUUAGCUGGGUGUAGUGGUGUGUGCCUGUGGUCCCAUCUGCUUGGGAGGCUGAGGUGGGAGAAUAGCUUGAGCUCAGGAGGUUGAGGCUACAGUGAGCUAUGGUCCUGCCUCUGCACUUUAGCCUCGGCGACAAUAAGACUCUGCCUCAAAAAAAAAAAAAAAAAAAAAGAUUUUUGACUGUGAGACUUGAUCUAGGAAUGAAUGGAAAUGCAACUGUAGUCAUGUUUCUCCUGCAUUCUUCCAUCUGCAGAAUGGCACCAUUGUUGUGCGGAUGCUGAUGCCCAGCGUUGAGCCUGUCGUCUCCUAUAUUAGGGGAAGUUCUCCUGGCCCUUCCCAACUACCUCCCCUGUGCAAGUUUAUUACAACUGAACGGCCUCAAGGAUGAAGUCUGGCUCUGUUGCCCAAGCUGGAGUGUGUUGGCACCAUCUUGGUUCACUGCAACUUCCACCUCCCAGGCUCCAGUGAUUCUCCUGCCUCAGCCUCAAGGGUAGCUGAGAUUACAGGCUGGAGUGCAGUGGCAUGAUCUCACCUCACUGAGAACCUCCACCUCCAGGGUUCAAGUGAUUCUGCUACCUCAACCUCCCAAAUAGCUGGGACUACAGGCACUUUCCCUACAUUUUCAAAGGCCUGCAUCAUCACAUCUGCCACAGCAUUCUCUAUCAUUGAGGCAUUUUCUCAGGAAAUCACCUGUGAAAUAUUUUGCAGCUAACCACCUACCUGUGCCCCACCAGCCAACAUGCUUUACUCCUGCCAGGCAGCUGUGUCACUCUGGAAGCUUUGAUCAGAAAAUUGUAGUUGCUGUUGCCUCUGAUGUGCAAGUCCAAGAUUCUUGGGCCGCAGGACAUGUUCUGCAUAUAUUCCUGGAGAAUAGACCAACAAUGAGACUGAAUCAGUAACGAAAAGUCUUCUAUGAAAGAAAAACCCAGAACCAUAUUGCUUUACUGCUUAAUUCUAAUAAACUCAUAAAGAACAACAAACACCAAUUCUUCUCAAACUAUUCCAAAAAAUUGAAGCAGGGCAGGGAGGAAUUCUUCCUAACUCAUUCUAAAAGGCCAGCAUUAUCCUGAUACCAAAACCAGACAAGGACACAGCAAAAACAGAGAACUACAGGCCAAUAUCCCUGAUGAUGCUAAAUGGAAAAAUCCUCAACAAAAUACUAGCAAAACCAAUGCAACAACACAGAAAAGAUAAUACACCAUGAUCAAAUGAGAUUUAUCCCAAGUAUGCAAUCAUGAUUCAACAUACACAAAUCAAUACUUGUGAUACAUCACAUCAACAGAGUGAAGGACCAAAAGACAUAUGAUCAUCUCAACAGAUACAGAAAAAGAUUUGAUAUGAUUCAAAAUCCCAUUAUGAUAAAAACUUUUUUUUUUUGAGACAGGGUCUCACUCUGUCACCCAGGCUGGAGUGCAGUGGCAUGAUCAUGGCUCACUGCAGCCUCGACCUCCCAGGCUUACACGAUCCUCCCACCUCAACUUUCCAAAUAGCUAGACUACAGGUGCCUGCCUGUAGUCAAGCCAUAGGUGCCAUUGCCUGGCUAAUUUUUAUAUUUUUUGUAGAGAUGGGAUUUCGCCAUGUUGUCCAGGCUGGUCUCAAAUUCUUGAGCUCAAGCAAUCUGCCCAUCUUGCCCUCCCAAAGUGAUGAGAUUAAAGGCAUAAGCCACCGCACCCAGCCUAUGAUAAAAACUUAAAUCAGGUGUACAGGAAACAUAUCUCAACAUAAUAUAGACAAUAUGUUCCAAACCCACAGCAAACAUCUUAGUGAAUGGGGAAAAGAUAAAAGUCUUUCCUCUAAGAACUGGAAGAAGAUUCGAAUGUCUACUUUCACCACUCUUAUUACCAUAGUUCAGGGAGUCCUAGUCAGAACUAUGGUAAGAGAAAAAAAUAAGGCAAGAAA